rnacentral:lncRNA from 1 species
AAACGUACUCGAGCUUUCACCUCAAGCAGCUCAAAAACAAACUCAUUCCAAACUACUCGGAACCGACAGCUCGACUACCGACUACAGAUACUCUACUCUUGACACAAGACUAUCAGCUUAGCAGGCAUCCCAGCCUCAAUACAAGUUCCAAAACUUCAAAGGGCAAAGCAAUUUUUUACUCGAAUCUGAUUCAAAUAGAAAAUUUUAAAGUUAGAUGUGAUUACUCACAAUCGAGUAAGGGUACUCAAAAUACAACAUAACAACAUAGCAAAGACUACAAGCAACUACCUACUGGCGGUCUGCAUUUAAGCCUCAGGCUUUUACAAUAUCACAAGGCCACUCAGGCCUACCAACUACUACAAAGGGAAGGGCCCACACGCAAGAAAGCUGUGCAAAACGCAGCCAUAUCCAGGUCCUCCUCCGAAACAACACCAGGAACUCCUACACCACCGCUACCUCGACAACGGCAAUGAUGAAUUCCGCGUGCUGCAUAAGAUAGAAAAAAAAGGCUACUCUCUUGCUAGCCUUGUCGAGCUGUCCCACAUUGCAUGCCACACC